GACGAACGCUGGCGGCGUGCCUAACACAUGCAAGUCGAGCGGGGUUGAGGCGAGAGGUAACUCGAACUUCUACCUAGCGGCGGACGGGUGAGUAACGCGUGGGCAACCUGCCUCAAGGUUUGGGAUAACAGCCCGAAAGGGCUGCUAAUACCGGAUAUGCCUAUGGCCUCGCAUGGGGCUAUGAGCAAAGGGGAAACCCGCCUUGAGAUGGGCCCGCGUCCCAUCAGCUAGUUGGUGAGGUAACAGCUCACCAAGGCGACGACGGGUAGCCGGCCUGAGAGGGUGACCGGCCACACUGGGACUGAGACACGGCCCAGACUCCUACGGGGGGCAGCAGUGGGGGAUCUUGCACAAUGGGCGAAAGCCUGAUGCAGCGACGCCGCGUGAGCGAAGAAGGCCUUCGGUUGUAAAGCUCUGUCUGGAGGGACGAACAAAAUAGAACGGUACCUCCGGAGGAAGGCCACGGCUAACUACGUG
rnacentral:rRNA from 1 species